CCGGGUCGGUGCUCUUGCCCCGCUCAGCUCUGAGCUGCAAUGAUUGACGGGAACGCUGACGGAGCUUUAGCACCUUGCACCACCUGCUGGUGAUAAGGGUGAAGUUGAAGGUGAUGCCUUCGAUGCGUUCAUUGUUAUGGAUCUUCACUUUAGAGGCAUACUCAUCAGCCUGCAGGUGUUUGAUGACAUCAGGGAACCAGACUGACAGGCCAUAAUAUCUGCAAUCAGAGGGACAUGUUGAUAGUUGGAUCGAAAAAAUCAGCUGAUCGGUUCAUCAACGAGAGGUUGUUCGUGUUAGAGUGAGACCUGACAAAACAAUAAAUAGAUAGACAGACACAUUAGAAAUCCAGAAGAUACUUGUGCUUUAAAAAAUCAACUGGCUGCCUCCUGUCUUGUCUCCUCCACACAUGCACGCAGGUCCACCUCUGUAUCCACAGAGACACCAAUGAAACUGUAUUGAUCCGUGGGGCAGGGAGACAGUGAUUGAUUUUGAGACUGUGCAACUUCUACACAGCAGCGCUCAAGAUGACAGAAAUGCAAUGUGCCAACAAAACAGACUGCCUAGAGCUAUUAUCUGACCACAGAAACUUGUCUGAUUUUUCUAUGACAAAACUGACAAAUCUCACCCGAAUGACAGCGUGAACCACACUAUGGCCAGUCGCAACAUGUUUUCUCGCAUUGGGUAGUUGAAACACUUCAUAAGGUUCAGAUAGAUCUAAAAAGAGACAAGAGCUCUAUUAGAAUAGGCAUCAGGAUUUGGUACAGUGGAAUAAUAAGGAAAACAAAUAUAAUUAAAGGUACUUUUUGUAAUGGCCUAGUACACAACUUAACUGAAAUCUUCUCCACCAGGGGGCAGUGUGCUACCAGAGAGGGUGUUGAGAUGUUCUCUGAUAUGUGCUGCUGCUUUUGACUUUCGAUACUUCUUUUUAGCCCUAUUUCCAUUUCCACCAGGCAGCUGUUUAUAAAUAAGGUUUUGUUAUCGGCGACUUGCCUAGUUAAAGAAAAGUCGCACUGAAUUGUUGCACUGUCUUGUGGUUUGAAUUGGUAUUACAUAAACUGUAGCCCCGCCCUACUUGAUUUGAUAUUUCUGUUACUCAAAUCUUAGACACUUUUGACAAGGAGUCAAAAAGGUUAUGUCGUCACACUCAAACAACAGUUUUAAUUUAUUGAGGAAGGUUUAAGGUGGCUCUAUAGUUUUCCGGUUUACACAUUUGCUUAGCAGCUGAAAUUAGCAUUAGUGAAUUUAGGAAGGUUUAAGUUAUUUAUAAAAGCAGGAAUUUACAAUAAAAUUAAUUAUAGUUAAAAAUUAACUAUAAUCAAAUAAAAAGACAAAUAUUUACCCCACGAACUUCAGCCUUUAUCCUGAAGAAAGCCUUAGAAACUGGGUUGCCAGAUUCUGAUUCCAUUUCAACAAAUUCAUCCAGCUGCCGUGGAGUUUUGAUCCUGUUUACCUGAAAUAUUGGAAAACAGUAUAAGAAUAACAUCUGUAUUACUUUACAAUAAGUUGACAUUGAAUUACUGACAUUGUUGUGCAAUAUCAUAGCCUUUCAUUUAUUUCUAGAAUAAAAUUACACCUACACAGCAUUAAAAAUCAAAUCAGCUUCUGAACAGCUGUGACAGUACAGCAACAGGUCAGCAGAUUUCAACAAACCUGCUACUCUGUCUGCUUGAGAAGAUUCCCACCUCUCUUAAAAGAGGCUGUGAUUGAGUCUCUUUUAAUGCUAGUGAGGAAAGCCAUAAUGGUGAAGGGGGUCGGAGAUGAUCCUCGUUCUAUUUCCAUGUGGAACUCUCUAAUUGUAAAUUUGUACGUUGCAUGAAUGGAAGGGAGAGCUGACUGGAACUUUGACAUGGGAAACUGACACAUUUCUGGACCUAAAGUGCAUGCAUUGGAUUCAUUCUGUUUGGUUUUUGCAUUUUGCUUGUUUGUUUAUCUUUAAAAAUUUAAUGAACAGAA